rnacentral:tRNA from 1 species
GUUUUAAUAAUUUAAUAUAAAAUAUUGGUCUUGUAAACCAAAAAUGAAUUGUUUCUUAAAACU